GCGCACCAGGCGAGAAACCUUCGCAAUGCAGGAAACUGCGACGAGGGAACUCCAAGUGCCUACGCUCAGCGUAGGCUGUUCUCAAGCCUAGAAAGCUUGAGGAGUAAGGGCUGGGUAAGACGGGUGCCAUCUGUGGUAGCAGUCAAUAGAUUCGAUUUGUUACUGCAAGGCAUAAGCCGCCGCGGUAAUACCCGCAGCCCAAGUGGUGGCCGCUUUUAUUGGGCCUAAAGCGUCCGUAGCCGGCCCGGUAAAUGCCCUGGGUAAAUCGUGGAGCCCGACUUCACGAAUUCCGGGUAGACUGCCGAGCUCGGGACCGGAAGAGGGAGAGGGUACUUCAGGGGUAGGGGUGAAAAUUUCCUUUCCAUUAACGCUUUUGCGCGAAGCGGAAAGGGUUAU
rnacentral:rRNA from 1 species